GAUGAACGCUGGCGGCGUGCUUAACACAUGCACGUCGAACGAUGAAGACCGUGCUUGCACGGUUGGAUUAGUGGCGAACGGGUGAGUAUCACGUGAGUAACCUUCCCUUAACUCUGGGAUAAGCCCGGGAAACUGGGUCUAAUACCGGAUACGACCAGUCCUCGCAUGGGGUGCUGGUGGAAAGAUUUAUCGGUUUUGGAUGGACUCGCGGCCUAUCAGCUUGUUGGUGAGGUAAAGGCUCACCAAGGCGAUGACGGGUAGCCGGCCUGAGAGGGUGACCGGCCACACUGGGACUGAGACACGGCCCAGACUCCUACGGGAGGCAGCAGUGGGGAAUAUUGCACAAUGGGCGAAAGCCUGAUGCAGCGACGCCGCGUGCGGGAUGACGGCCUUCGGGUUGUAAACCGCUUUCAGCAGGGAAGAAGCGCAAGUGACGGUACCUGCAGAAGAAGCGCCGGCUAACUACGUGCCAGCAGCCGCGGUAAUACGUAGGGCGCGAGCGUUAUCCGGAAUUAUUGGGCGUAAAGAGCUCGUAGGCGGUUUGUCACGUCUGCUGUGAAAGCCCGGGGCUCAACCCCGGGUGUGCAGUGGGUACGGGCAGACUAGAGUGCAGUAGGGGAGACUGGAAUUCCUGGUGUAGCGGUGAAAUGCGCAGAUAUCAGGAGGAACACCGAUGGCGAAGGCAGGUCUCUGGGCUGUUACUGACGCUGAGGAGCGAAAGCAUGGGGAGCGAACAGGAUUAGAUACCCUGGUAGUCCAUGCCGUAAACGUUGGGCACUAGGUGUGGGGAACAUUCCACGUUUUCCGCGCCGUAGCUAACGCAUUAAGUGCCCCGCCUGGGGAGUACGGCCGCAAGGCUAAAACUCAAAGGAAUUGACGGGGGCCCGCACAAGCGGCGGAGCAUGCGGAUUAAUUCGAUGCAACGCGAAGAACCUUACCAAGGCUUGACAUGGACCGGACCGCUGCAGAGAUGCAGUUUCCCUUCGGGGUCGGUUCACAGGUGGUGCAUGGUUGUCGUCAGCUCGUGUCGUGAGAUGUUGGGUUAAGUCCCGCAACGAGCGCAACCCCUAUCCUAUGUUGCCAGCACGUUAUGGUGGGGACUCAUGGGAGACUGCCGGGGUCAACUCGGAGGAAGGUGGGGACGACGUCAAAUCAUCAUGCCCCUUAUGUCUUGGGCUUCACGCAUACUACAAUGGCCGGUACAAUGGGUUGCGAUACUGUGAGGUGGAGCUAAUCCCUAAAAGCCGGUCUCAGUUCGGAUCGAAGUCUGCAACUCGACUUCGUGAAGUUGGAGUCGCUAGUAAUCGCAGAUCAGCAACGCUGCGGUGAAUACGUUCCCGGGCCUUGUACACACCGCCCGUCAAGUCACGAAAGUGGGUAACACCCGAAGCCGGUGGCCUAACCCUUGUGGGGGGAGCCGUCGAAGGUGGGACUCGCGAUUGGGACU
rnacentral:rRNA from 1 species